UACAGAGGUCCCGAGCGUUGUUCGGAUUCACUGGGCGUAAAGGGUGCGUAGGUGGUGAGGUAAGUCGGAUGUGAAAUCUCCAAGCUCAACUUGGAGAUGGCAUUGGAAACUACCUUGCUGGAGGUUUGGAGGGGGGACUGGAAUUCUCGGUGUAGCAGUGAAAUGCGUAGAUAUCGAGAGGAACACCAGUGGCGAAGGCGAGUCCCUGGACAAAACCUGACACUGAGGCACGAAAGCUAGGGGAGCAAACAGG
rnacentral:rRNA from 1 species